CGAUCACGUGGUUCCUUCAUUUUGGAGAAGACGGCAGCCAUUGUUCCUGGCUUUGUUAUGAUAUAUUUUUCUCGCGUUUCGGCCGAAAUUUAGCGUUCAUCGGGCCGCUGGAAGUGCCGCGUCAGCACAACUACGUGCAAGAUCAUGUGUAGAAGUAAAAUCGAGAUUUUUACAUCAAACGGAGUUUUGAUGCCGCUAAAAAGCACGGAUAUAGUUCGUCAAAGCUACCAAACGUCAUCCUGUGGACAGCUCUGCAGCGUUUGGUUUUUUUACCCCACGAGGGAAAUCGACCAACACAGUAAUGAUGACCUGAAGUGACAAGAUCAGUCCAUGACAGAAGACGACUCCUUCCUUGACUGAAGAUGGUAUGCAGCAGGCGAGCCAAGCCAGCUCAUUUUCCUGGUCAUGGAGCUCCUCCUCCACGCGGUCAGCCUCGUCGUCCAGACCCCGGGCCUGUUCGAUGGCCUGUACGUAGCACCUGAACUUUCCGAGGUGGACGUCGGCCAGCAGGGCCUCCUUGGACACCUCCCCCUCGUGUAGCACUCCACACAGAUCGCCCAGUUCCUGGGCAUAACGGCCGAUGGCAAGCAUCAGAUUUUCCCGGCUGUCCUUUGCCUCAAAAAUGCUGAACACAACGGUGUUCUGCCGAGAGUUUGGAUGGUCCCUGUUGAGCAGCUGGAAGGUAGUCAAAGAUGGCAGCGCCGACUGGGGAGAUGUACGCACACGGAAGCAGUUGCACCUUCGUGGGGUCCGACCCAUCUUUCUUCGCUCCCUUAACACAGAAAGCUGGUGACCAGAAGGGAUGACAACUUGAUCGAACUUCAGCUGGUGCAGCAUGCUCCUCAGCUCGUCCCGUGGCACCCUCCGCAGUUCCUCCCGGAGCAGCACUCCAGGAUCCCCACCACUCACCCUGUCUCUCACCUCCUCC